rnacentral:lncRNA from 1 species
GCGCUUCCGUUUGAACAUCGGUGAAACGUCAGUUACCUCGCGACGAUCUUUCCGCGAGGACUUUGUCCGAUCGCGCGCUCGCGGAAACGUUCUCGAUUAUCUUGAUUGCGUCGCGCUCGUUUACAGCCAGUUCCCCCGUUUAACUUUAUAUGCGUAGAUUAGUUAACCUUGGCUGUGCCAGUGCUGCAAUCUUGAAAGAGAAACCGGAGCGUUGUCAGUUUUCCGGUUCCGAUUGUCUUUCCGGUUCUGUUCGACGGUUAACCGCAGUGUAGGAAGAGUUGCGUUGGACGCGCAUUACGAUUCUUCCCUUCAACUUUCGUUAUUUAAUACGUACGUUAAUUCAUCUUAGGUCUUUUUGUUGCUAUCGCUUGAAGAAGGAAAAAAAAAGAAACGAGAAAUUUAUUUUCCGGAAGAAACUUUUUGCCAAACGGAGUUAAAAUGGAGAUGCAGAGAUGAAAGGGAUGAAUAAAAAGCGUGAGUUCCGUAUGCGUUUUCAGCGUCAAGUUCGAGAUAAGAUGAAGAAAUAUUAAGAUUCGUAUCGUUUUCACAUUUCUCCGUUUCAUCCCGGAAAUAAUCGGGAACUAGCGUUACGCAAAGUGAUCUCGCUGUCGCGCCCGCAACUUGUCAGAGUUAACCGAAUUUGGUCGCUCCUGUAGACUCGUGGUGCGCCGGGGAUUUGCGACAAUUGGCACCAUGUCAGAGGUGAGACGCGGAGGGAAGUAUAAGAGAGGUGAGUGACGUCGUUGCCAACAGUCAUCAUCAGAUGUCGUCUUGGCCGCGAUUCGUUCGCGGCACGUUCGUGUCUGCCUGUGCAGCUGAUACGCUCGGCUCGUCGUCGGCGGCGAGUAGCGUUAGUGGAGUCCGAUCGAUUUGCUGAUCAUCGCGGAUCGGCGAAUUGGUGCUUCGCAUGUGACCCCAGUGCACGCGCGAUAACCGCGCUUCGCUCGCGCGUUUUCCAGUGGAAACUUCGAUUGCCGCGAUCGAUUCCUCGAUGCGGGCCGAAUAUUAAAUAUCCGAAUCUCUGGUGUAGGACGAGUUUCGAAUAGUCAUCCGGGAAAUAUCGGUGCGUCUGAUACACCAGCCAGCGUCUCCGAUCACGUUUGUUCGAUACGCGAUGUGAAACUGUGACGUAGAGAGAGAGAGAGAGAGAAAGAUCGCGAGCAGUGCCGCAGCAGGUGCAUAUUGAUUCGACGAUCGACAACGUUAUCGAAACGCGGAAGGAAUGGCGUUAUUCUCCGGUGGCGGUAGCGGUGCCGGUGGUGGCGGUGGCGGGCCGCCCAUUAAACCGGAAGAUAGCAUCCCUUCCAGGCAACGGAGUCUCAAGGAUCGGCUGCGAGAAGGAAUCACCGGCGGAUUCGCUUGGCAGUGAGUAAUCUUUAUGCUGUUAUUUCGUAUCUACCCGUGACAAAACGACUUUUGCAUGUGAGUACCUGUUGGAUUGAAAGAUAUGUAUUUUCACACGUAG